rnacentral:lncRNA from 1 species
CUUUGGGAAAGUGUAUAAGGUUGAAACUUCAGCUCAGCAUCCAAGCAGCGGCUCGGAAGGUCGGGCUUACUGAAUACCUUGGGGCCGGAUGCAGCUUCAGUAGUGACGGUUCUGCAGUCUACCCUGUCAAACUUCCGAAAGGAAUGAGUAUAAUUUAAAUGGGAGGAGCGGGCGGUUGUGGCCCUCGUGUCUUUUAAAAUCGGAAACUCAGUAGCUUUUCACUGUGCUAGUGUUUGUUUACUAAUGGCGUUUGCCUGUGUGCAUGAAACAGGUAACUUUUUGGAGAUGGGUACAUCUAGCUGGCAGUAUCUAUAGUUGAAAUAAAACGAGCA